rnacentral:rRNA from 1 species
AGAAUCAACGCUGGCGGCGUGCCUAACACAUGCAAGUCGAACGAGAAAGGGGAGCAAUCCCUGAGUAAAGUGGCGACCGGGUGAGUAACACGUGACUAACCUACCUUCGAGUGGGGGAUAACCUCGGGAAACCGAGGCUAAUACCGCAUAACAUCGCAAGAUCAAAGCAGCAAUGCGCUGGAAGAGGGGGUCGCGGCUGAUUAGCUAGUUGGCGGGGUAACGGCCCACCAAGGCGAAGAUCGGUAUCCGGCCUGAGAGGGCGCACGGACACACUGGAACUGAAACACGGUCCAGACUCCUACGGGAGGCAGCAGUGGGAAUUUUGCGCAAUGGGGGAAACCCUGACGCAGCAACGCCGCGUGGAGGAUGAAGCCCCUUGGGGCGUAAACUCCUUUCGACCAAGACGAUAAUGACGGUACUGGUGGAAGAAGCACCGGCUAACUCUGCGCCAGCAGCCGC